rnacentral:rRNA from 1 species
ACUGUGAAACUGCGAAUGGCUCAUUAAAUCAGUUAUCGUUUAUUUGAUAGUACCUUACUACUUGGAUACCCGUGGUAAUUCUAGAGCUAAUACAUGCUGAAAACCCCGACUUCGGGAGGGGUGUGUUUAUUAGAUAAAAAACCAAUGCCCUCCGGGGCUGCUUGGUGAAUCAUGAUAACCAAACGAAUCGCAUGGCCUUGAGCCGGCGAUGGUUCAUUCAAAUUUCUGCCCUAUCAACUUUCGAUGGUAGGAUCUGGGCCUACCAUGGUAUCAACGGGUAACGGGGAAUUAGGGUUCGAUUCCGGAGAGGGAGCCUGAGAAACGGCUACCACAUCCAAGGAAGGCAGCAGGCGCGCAAAUUACCCAAUCCCGACUCGGGGAGGUAGUGACAAUAAAUACUGAUACAGGGCUCUUUAGGGUCUUGUAAUUGGAAUGAGUACAAUUUAAACCCCUUAACGAGGAACAAUUGGAGGGCAAGUCUGGUGCCAGCAGCCGCGGUAAUUCCAGCUCCAAUAGCGUAUAUUAAAGUUGUUGCAGUUAAAAAGCUCGUAGUUGAAACUUGGGUCCGGCUGUCCGGUCCGCCUUACCGCGAGUACUGGUUCGGCCGGGCCCUUUCCUCUGGCAAACCGCAUGCCCUUCACUGGGCGUGUCGGGGAACCAGGACUUUUACUUUGAAAAAAUUAGAGUGUUCAAAGCAGGCCUUUGCUCGGAUACAUUAGCAUGGAAUAAUGGAAUAGGACGCGUGGUUCUAUUUUGUUGGUUUCUAGAACCGCCGUAAUGAUUGAUAGGGACAGUCGGGGGCAUCCGUAUUCAGACGCGAGAGGUGAAAUUCUUAGACCGUCUGAAGACGAACUACUGCGAAAGCAUUUGCCAAGGAUGUUUUCAUUAAUCAGUGAACGAAAGUUGGGGGAUCGAAGACGAUCAGAUACCGUCGUAGUCUCAACCGUAAACUAUGCCGACUAGGGAUCGGGCGGCGUUCUCAUUAUGACCCGCCCGGCACCUUACGAGAAAUCA